rnacentral:rRNA from 1 species
GACGAACGCUGGCGGCGUGCCUAAUACAUGCAAGUAGAACGCUGAAGGAGGAGCUUGCUUCUCUGGAUGAGUUGCGAACGGGUGAGUAACGCGUAGGUAACCUGCCUGGUAGCGGGGAUAACUAUUGGAAACGAUAGCUAAUACCGCAUAAGAGUAGAUGUUGCAUGACAUUUGCUUAAAAGGUGCAAUUGCAUCACUACCAGAUGGACCUGCGUUGUAUUAGCUAGUUGGUGAGGUAACGGCUCACCAAGGCGACGAUACAUAGCCGACCUGAGAGGGUGAGCGGCCCAAGUGGGACGGAGACACGCCCCAAACCACUACGGGAGGGAGGAGGGGGGAAUCUUGGGAAAAGGGGGGAGGGCUGAACGGGCAGCGCCGGGGGAGGAAAGAGGGGUGUGGGAUAGAAAAGCUUGUUUGAAAGAGAAGAAAGGGGGGGAGAGGGGAAAGUUCACCCUGGGACGGUUUCUAAAAAAAAGGGGAGGGCUAACUCCGUG